rnacentral:rRNA from 1 species
AAAGGGGCUUCGGCUCCGAGUAAAGUGGCGCACGGGUGAGUAACACGUGGGUAACCUGCCUCUAAGAUUGGGAUAACUCGUCGAAAGAUGAGCUAAUACCGAAUAAGACCACAGUUCCUGCGGGAACAGGGGUCAAAGGUAGCCUCUGCUUGCAAGCUAUCACUUAGAGAUGAGCCUGCGCACCAUUAGCUAGUUGGUAGGGUAACGGCCUACCAAGGCAAAGAUGGUUAGCUGGUCUGAGAGGAUGAUCAGCCACACUGGAACUGAGACACGGUCCAGACUCCUACGGGAGGCAGCAGUGGGGAAUAUUGCGCAAUGGGCGAAAGCCUGACGCAGCAACGCCGCGUGAGUAAUGAAGGCCUUCGGG